rnacentral:rRNA from 1 species
AUGGUGGCCGAAGACAAGCCCCUUUGUGAGUGUUGGAGGGACAUUGGGCAAGACCCCAAGGUUGGCGCCGAACAAAAGGCAUCAACCUUUUGGAUUCGUGUCUACCGUGAGUACCAUGAGUGCAAGAAGUUUGCGCCAUACCAAAUGCAAAGCACGCGCGCGUGGGUGUCCAUUUCAAAGCGAUGGAGGGUGAUCCAACAAGAGUGCAACAAGUUUUGUGCCACUCUUGGGAGCAUCAAGGCGCGCCCCAUGAGCGGCAUCAGCAUGCAAGACAUGGUAUGCAUGCGGUCCUCUUUGUUUUCAUUUCGUUUAUGCUUGCAUGUCCAUUUGCAUGCCCAUUUGCCCAUAUGCUUGCAUGCUAUCCACUUGUAG